rnacentral:rRNA from 1 species
UGAACGACUCUCGGCAACGGAUAUCUCGGCUCUCGCAUCGAUGAAGAACGUAGCGAAAUGCGAUACUUGGUGUGAAUUGCAGAAUCCCGUGAACCAUUGAGUUUUUGAACGCAAGUUGCGCCCGAGGCCAUUUGGUCGAGGGCACGUCUGCCUGGGCGUCACGC